rnacentral:rRNA from 1 species
GGAAUUUUGGACAAUGGGGGCAACCCUGAUCCAGCCAUGCCGCGUGAGUGAAGAAGGCCUUCGGGUUGUAAAGCUCUUUCGCAAGGGAAGAAACGAUGCAGACGAAUAAUCUGCGUUAAUGACGGUACCUUGAUAAGAAGCACCGGCUAACUACGUGCCAGCAGCCGCGGUAAUACGUAGGGUGCGAGCGUUAAUCGGAAUUACUGGGCGUAAAGCGAGCGCAGGCGGUUCUGCAAGUCAGAUGUGAAAUCCCCGGGCUCAACCUGGGAACUGCGUUUGAAACUACAGAGCUAGAGUAUGGGAGAGGGAGGUAGAAUUCCACGUGUAGCAGUGAAAUGCGUAGAGAUGUGGAGGAAUACCAAUGGCGAAGGCAGCCUCCUGGCCUAAUACUGACGCUCAUGCUCGAAAGCGUGGGGAGCAAA